rnacentral:rRNA from 1 species
CAGGGCUUGACAUCCCGCUGACGGAUUUAGAGAUAAGUCGUCCCUUCGGGGCAGCGGAGACAGGUGGUGCAUGGUUGUCGUCAGCUCGUGUCGUGAGAUGUUGGGUUAAGUCCCGCAACGAGCGCAACCCUUAUCAACAGUUGCCAUCAUUAAGUUGGGAACUCUGUUGAGACUGCCGUUGAUAAAACGGAGGAAGGUGGGGAUGAUGUCAAGUCAUCAUGGCCUUUAUGUUCAGGGCUACACACGUGCUACAAUGGCCGGUACAAAACGUCGCAAUCCCGCAAGGGGGAGCUAAUCGCAAAAACCGGUCUCAGUUCGGAUUGAAGUCUGCAACUCGACUUCAUGAAGUUGGAAUCGCUAGUAAUCGCGGAUCAGAACGCCGCGGUGAAUACGUUCCC